rnacentral:rRNA from 1 species
UACGAAGGGGGCUAGCGUUGCUCGGAAUGACUGGGCGUAAAGGGCGCGUAGGCGGUUUGUACAGUCAGGUGUGAAAUUCCCGGGCUCAACCUGGGGGCGGCACUUGAGACGUAGGAACUGGAGUGAGGAAGAGGGUCGUGGAAUUCCCAGUGUAGAGGUGAAAUUCGUAGAUAUCUGGAGGAACACCGGUGGCGAAGGCGGCGUUCUGGACUGCAACUGACACUGAGGAACGAAAGCCAGGGGAGCAAACGGG